CGGGCGCAAACGCUGGUUGUUGGCCAAGACCCCAGGAUCCCGAACCCCAGUGUGGUUGGCAUCCCCCGUGUUGACUAGGCGCCUUAUUUUUGCACAAAUCAUCAACACGAGGGCCAUAAGGCACCGAAAGCCUGGCGCAGUCAGUUCAGUCGCUCAGUCGUGUCCGACUCUGAGACCCCACGGACUACAGCAUGCCAGGCCUGCCUGUCCAUCAGGCGCCUACAAAUACUUGUUCAGUGAAUGAAUGAAUCUGCCCUUUAGAGUUCUACUUCGAGUCACCGCCUCCAGGGAGCCUUCCAAGCCUUCCCCAACACCCGUGGACUGGAAGCCUGCAUCUCCCACUUGUAACGCUGGUCCCUCCCUCCCUGGCCCGAUGCUGGACCAGGCACAGGAGGCCUGAAGAACGCUGGAGGAAGCGCUGAGGGCUGGGACUGACAAGGGAGGCCCGCAGUCUCUGGAGCCCCGGGGUACCCCUCCGCGCGACGCUCUCACUUUCCCACGCAAAAUCUCGUGCGCUUGGCCGGAAAUCUCGACUCUUAAUGUGCGGGCGCUAGGACCGCUCGGAGCCAGUUCCGGGGCGGCCCCCGAACUUCCACUCCCAGGAUGCCCCGGUUUAUUUGCAUCUUUCAGUCCCGAGUGACGUCAAGUGAGUGAGGCAGCUCCUUGGCCAAUGGAUGGCCGCGAGGUGUUAGGACCUGGCCAUAUAAGAAAAAAAUUUGAAGUGAAGGAAGAAUGGUCGCAUGGGGUGGAGGUAUCUUCAGGCCUAUCUAGGAGCAAGAGACAAGAAAUCUGUUUCCCUGUCUUUAAAAUGGGGAGAGGUUUACUGCCUCUGCGAGGGACUUGAUGUCUUCAAAAUAAUUGUCCUGGACGUGGAGACGGUGAGAUGCCUUCAGUUCUGGACAAGGUGCUUCGCUUCCCAUGUGGGCACUCCUCCAAGCAACCUUGGGUUCCACCCCCAGCUCCUUUCUGCCGGGUGGCAGGUGAGGGUCUGCCCUC
ensembl:lncRNA